AGAAAAAUAAUGAAUCGUCAGAAAAUAAAUACACCUUGAAAAAAAGGAAACUUAAUCUACCCUUAUUCAAUCUUCCAACGGCUGGAAACCAUUAAUCCUUCUCGUCGUUUCAUUUCAUCUGUCCCAUCUGUUCCAUCCGUCUGACGAUAACACUGCCCAAGAGUAUCUUUCUUUGCUAUCUGCUUUAAGACCAAAUCCUCUCUCUGUCUUCUUAGUCUGGAUUCCUUGCCCAUUGCUCUGCUGUACCAACAUUGUGACGAAUCGUCUCUUCAUUCUCCAAAGAUGCAAUAUUGUUAUGAAGAAUCGAUUUCGAGGCCAAAUACUUGUUCAUCGUGCCCCAGACCACUAGCCCUGAUGUCGAUCUGAAAUCUCUGUUAUCGAAUGCAGCAUCAAACUGGAUUUUCAUAAUUGGUCUUUGCCUGUUGAACGUACCCUUUCAUACAAAAGCUGGUUUCUUGAAUGCCAAAGUAACCGUAAGGCAUAACAAAAGUAUCUACACUGUUCGUUUGUUCCUUGUUUGAAAAUUUCGUGUUUAUAGGACAUUGCCUGAAGAUGUGAUGACAAUCUUCUUCCCCAUAACCACAACAAGGACAACUAGAAUUUGUCACUAAUCUUCUAUAUCUGAGAUUGCCCAAAAUAGGAAUGUAAUUCUAGGAGAUGCGCCAGAUUAUGAUUGUAAUCUUAGAUGGUAGCUGUAGGUUCCAUAGCUUUCCAAAAAAUUCCUUAAUUUUGGUUUGUAAUAGAUAAUUAUUAGGAUCUAGAUUAGCAUUUUGUACUAGUUUGUAGGCACUACGAACUAAAUAUUCACCAGUCGGUUUGCCCCUCCAGACUUGAAAGUCCUCGAGAUCUGAUUCCGAUAAUGGGAUUUGUAAAAUUAUGCGAGCAACAUCCGGGUGAAAGGUAUUUCUAAUCAGCUCUGCCCUUCAUUUCCUAUUCACAUUAUCAAUAAGAUCCGAUACUAACUCUAA